rnacentral:rRNA from 1 species
UACAGAGGGGGCAAGCGUUGUUCGGAAUUACUGGGCGUAAAGGGCGCGUAGGUGGCCUUCUAAGUUGAACGUGAAAUCCCUGGGCUCAACCCAGGAACUGCGUCCAAGACUGGGAGGCUUGAAUCCGGGAGAGGGAUGCGGAAUUCCAGGUGUAGCGGUGAAAUGCGUAGAUAUCAGGAGGAACACCUGCGGUGUAGACGGCUUACUGGACCAUAACUGACGCUGAGGCACGAAAGCGUGGGUAGCAAACAGG